AGUGAACGCUGGCGGUAGGCCUAACACAUGCAAGUCGAACGGCAGCACAGUAAGAGCUUGCUCUUACGGGUGGCGAGUGGCGGACGGGUGAGGAAUACAUCGGAAUCUACUUUUUCGUGGGGGAUAACGUAGGGAAACUUACGCUAAUACCGCAUACGACCUACGGGUGAAAGCAGGGGAUCUUCGGACCUUGCGCGAUUGAAUGAGCCGAUGUCGGAUUAGCUAGUUGGCGGGGUAAAGGCCCACCAAGGCGACGAUCCGUAGCUGGUCUGAGAGGAUGAUCAGCCACACUGGAACUGAGACACGGUCCAGACGCCUACGGGAGGCAGCAGUGGGGAAUAUUGGACAAAGGGCGCAAGCCUGAUACAGCCAUACCGCGUGGGUGAAGAAGGCCUUCGGGUUGUAAAGCCCUUUUGUUGGGAAAGAAAAGCAGCAGGUUAAUACCCCGCUGUUCUGACGGUACCCAAAGAAUAAGCACCGGCUAACUUCGUG
rnacentral:rRNA from 1 species